rnacentral:sRNA from 1 species
CAUGUCGUUUUCUAGGGUUCCGCGGCGUUCAACUGCCGGCCUGGUCCAAGAGAAAACACACAGCGAAUACGCUGUGGUCACGGAGGGGGAAAAGCCCGGGAGUC